rnacentral:lncRNA from 1 species
UUGCUUUCGGUAUAGCAACCAAUAAACUUAUCCACUAGCCCCUACACUCUUUUAAUGUGUCGCCAUGUGGCGUCCACUCAAACUACUCAAAUGUUUAUUAUCUUUUUCAAAAUAAAAAACAAUUUGUUUUUACUUUCCUCCAUUGGCGAUGACAUGUGGAGGGUGUAAUCUCACCCCAGUGAUUCUCCGCAGGUUGCCAUGGCGCUUGCACACUGAACGAGCAGAAGCUCACGUGUGCUGCACAGUAUGGAAAAUAUGGGGUCGCUUUAUUCAAAGAAAGCGUUCACGAUCGCUACGAAUCAGGAAUGAGAAGCAGAGAU